AUUGAACGCUGGCGGCAUGCCUUACACAUGCAAGUCGAACGGCAGCGCGGACUUCGGUCUGGCGGCGAGUGGCGAACGGGUGAGUAAUACAUCGGAACGUACCCUGUUGUGGGGGAUAACUAGUCGAAAGAUUAGCUAAUACCGCAUACGACCUACGGGUGAAAGUGGGGGACCGUUCGGGCCGUCACGCGAUGAGAUGAGCCGAUGCCGGAUUAGCUAGUUGGCGGGGUAAAGGGACCCGACCAACGGCGACGAUCCGUAGCUGGUCUGAGAGGAUGAUCAGCCACACUGGAACUGAGACACGGUCCAGACUCCUACGGGAGGCAGCAGUGGGGAAGUAUUGGACAAUGGGGGCGAACCCUCGAUCCAGCCAUGCCGCGUGAGUGAAGAAGGCCCUCGGGUUGUAAAGCUCUUUUGUCCGGAAAGAAAAGCAAUCGGUUAAUACCCGGUUGUUCUGACGGUACCGGAAGAAUAAGCACCGGCUAACUUCGUGCCAGCAGCCGCGGUAA
rnacentral:rRNA from 1 species